AACGAACGCUGGCGGCAGGCUUAACACAUGCAAGUCGAACGCAUCGCAAGAUGAGUGGCAGACGGGUGAGUAACGCGUGGGAACAUACCCUUUUCUACGGAAUAGCUCUGGGAAACUGGAAUUAAUACCGUAUACGCCCUACGGGGGAAAGAAUUAUCGGGGAAGGAUUGGCCCGCGUUGGAUUAGCUAGUUGGUGGGGUAAAGGCCUACCAAGGCGACGAUCCAUAGCUGGUCUGAGAGGAUGAUCAGCCACAUUGGGACUGAGACACGGCCCAAACUCCUACGGGAGGCAGCAGUGGGGAAUAUUGGACAAUGGGCGCAAGCUUGAUCCAGCCAUGCCGCGUGAGUGAUGAAGGCCUUAGGGUUGUAAAGCUCUUUCACCGAUGAAGAUAAUGGCGGUAGUCGGAGAAGAAGCCCCGGCUAACUUCGUGCCAGCCGCCGCGGUAAAAC
rnacentral:rRNA from 1 species